UACGUAGGGGGCAAGCGUUGUCCGGAAUCAUUGGGCGUAAAGAGCGUGUAGGCGGCUCGAUAAGUCUGCUGUGAAAGUCCAGGGCUCAACCCUGGAAGGCCGGUGGAAACUGUCGGGCUAGAGUCCGGAAGAGGCGAAUGGAAUUCCUGGUGUAGCGGUGAAAUGCGCAGAUAUCAGGAAGAACACCCGUGGCUAAGGCGGCUCUCUAGUACGGUACUGACGCUGAGACGCGAAAGCGUGGGGAGCAAACAGG
rnacentral:rRNA from 1 species